rnacentral:lncRNA from 1 species
AAAACACAAAGCUGAGGGAGCCCUCAGUGACCUCAGACGUCAGUAUUGAAAAAGAGGUGGGAGAUCUCCAGGUGACAAUGAAGAAACUCAAAAAGAUGUUUGGGAUACUGUUUUCUUGAUUUCCUUAAAGUGGAAUGUCCCUGCAUUUUUGGGAGUGGAAAAAGAACUGAUGAGGAUGACAGCAAAUCCAUUGCCCAUAUGAGUGGGACCAGUUCCACAAGGUCAACCCAGAUGCAGAACGGUUGCAGUGGUUAGAUCCAAAACAUCCCCGGCGUGGCCUUCAUUGUACGUGACUUGUUAGCUUCUUACCUAGAGUGGGGCAUCCUACAGAUGCUGUCGUGUGGAGAGUUACAGCAUGUAGAAUCUAAAUCUUACCCUGGGGUCCUUUUAGAAGGUCAGCUCUUUUUUGCUGUGUUUCAAUGAAAACGUUGUGCCCUCUGGUUAAAUACACCUGUUUUGUCCUGACAAAAGUCUUAGCGGAUAAAUGUUUUUAAAUUGGUUAAAAAAAUAAAAUCACAUGCUCAGAUCAAAGCUAUACAAGACAUUCACUGACAUUAUUAGAUUCAUACGGUUGCCAACUUUGUAGCUAAACUAUAACAUCUACUUCCAAUAUUCAAUACUAGAAAACUAGUCAAAGGGGGUGACCAUCCUUGCUUUGCUGUCAAUUAGCCUUGUGGUCUUGGACAUGUCACCAGCCAGGUUUGAUCCAUUUUCUCGUCUGUAAAACAAGCAGUUUGGCCUUUUGGGCCUGGGGCACUCUCAG